rnacentral:rRNA from 11 species
UGUCUAAUUAAAACAAAGCAUUGCGAUGUCCACUGAUUGGUUUUGACGCAAUGU